rnacentral:rRNA from 1 species
UGGGGAAUUUUGGACAAUGGGCGCAAGCCUGAUCCAGCAAUGCCGCGUGCAGGAUGAAGGCCUUCGGGUUGUAAACUGCUUUUGUACGGAACGAAAAGGCUCUGGUUAAUACCUGGAGCAUAUGACGGUACCGUAAGAAUAAGCACCGGCUAACUACGUGCCAGCAGCCGCGGUAAUACGUAGGGUGCGAGCGUUAAUCGGAAUUACUGGGCGUAAAGCGUGCGCAGGCGGUUUUGUAAGACAGAGGUGAAAUCCCCGGGCUCAACCUGGGACUGCCUUUGUGACUGCAAGGCUGGAGUGCGGCAGAGGGGGAUGGAAUUCCGCGUGUAGCAGUGAAAUGCGUAGAUAUGCGGAGGAACACCGAUGGCGAAGGCAAUCCCCUGGGCCUGCACCUGGACGCUCAUGCACGAAAGCGUGGGGA